CACAAUGGCAUCCUGCAGGGACAGCUGACUUGAAGGAAUGCAAGGCUGGCUCCUUCAUUCAGUGAGUGCUCCCAAGUGCCUGCCACCUGCCAGGCAGCAUUCCAGCUGCCGGGUCAAAGCGGUGACGAUGACAGCCAUGGCUCCUGCCUGCGUGGAACCUCCCCUCAGGCGGAAAGACACCAAACAGGAGAGCUGAGCAAGAGGAAGGGGCCGUGCAGGCUGCGGCAGCUGAUGCUCAAACUGACCAGAGCACCCGGGUCUUCGCUGUGUGGAGGAGGCCCCUGGUCCAGGUCGGCCUGGGGUGGAGGACCAGCUACUAACUAACUCAAGCUGAGGCGCUGGAGGAACUGCAUCAAGACAGAGCAUGCACCCAGUUUAGGAACAUUCAAGAAACUGACCUGUCUGGAGAUGGCGAGCUGCAGAGCGAGGUAGAAAGCGGCUUGGUGAUCUGUAGGUGACAGACUGUGGGCCCUGGAAAAGUAUUUACGGCUGUUAGUACCUGGGAGAGGCCAUUCUACUUUCCCUAUCCAACAAGUAGUCACAUUUGCAUUUUUAUCACUUGCAUUUUUAUACUAAGCCCCCAUAUUUAACUAUUGAAUGUCUCAUUUAAACAAAGGUUUACUAAUAAAUGUGCUGUCUUUCCCCUUUUCUGUGUACACGAAUGAGUGGCCUGCUUUGUGUUCGGUCCACCUCUGAAGCAGCAGCCGUGACCCUGGGCUCUGAGGAGCAGCCUGGAGGUGCAGAAUCCGCAGGCCCUGAGCUCUGAAUGCUCACCGUCACGCUGGGACACGAGAAACCAUACGAAAAUCAAGACGUGGCUUUGCUGGUAAAAUGAGGUUCCAUUUUUGAUGAACUCACUCUAGGAGAGGAGGAGGAGACUCAUUCAGUCUUCCAAAGCUACCAAGCCCCAUGCAACUCUGACAUAUAAAGCUAAACACCUGGCUUAGGGUUACUGACUGGCCUUUGACACCAGCUGGGAAGAGCUGUCCUGGACUCCUGUUUGCAAACGUGGCCAUUCUUGCUCUUAUGUGGGAGUCAAUCAUAUUUCACCACGAGCAACUCAACAUGGGGCUGUAUACGAGACAUAACUCUCUGCUGGACAGCCUCGAGGGAAGAGAAAACCAACUUUACUUUCUUUACAAGGCACGAUGGAGCAGACUAAUUAAAAAACGGUGGGGCCCAGAUAAUAAACAGCCUUUCAUUCUG